UACGUAGGGACCAAGCGUUGUUCGGAUUUACUGGGCGUAAAGGGCGCGUAGGCGGCGCGGUAAGUCACUUGUGAAAUCUCUGAGCUUAACUCAGAACGGCCAAGUGAUACUGCAGUGCUAGAGUGUGGAAGGGGCAAUCGGAAUUCUUGGAGUAGCGGUGAAAUGCGUAGAUAUCAAGAGGAACACCUGAGGUGAAGACGGGUUGCUGGGCCAACACUGACGCUGAGGCGCGAAAGCCAGGGGAGCAAACGGG
rnacentral:rRNA from 1 species